rnacentral:rRNA from 1 species
GACGUAGGGCGCAAGCGUUGUCCGGAUUUAUUGGGCGUAAAGAGCUCGUAGGCGGCUUGCCACGUCUGCCGUGAAAACCAGAAGCUCAACUCCUGGCCUGCAUCCGAUACUGCCCGACUAGAGGUAGGUAGGGGAGAUCGGAAUUCCUGGUGUAGCGGUGAAAUGCGCAGAUAUCAGGAGGAACACCGGUGGCGAAGGCGGGUCUCUGGGCCGAUACUGACGCUGAGGAGCGAAAGCAUGGGGAGCGAACAGG